GACGAACGCUGGCGGCGUGCCUAAUACAUGCAAGUCGAACGAACCGCGACUAGGUGCUUGCACUUGGUCAAGGUGAGUGGCGAACGGGUGAGUAACACGUGGGUAACCUACCUCAUAGUGGGGGAUAACAGUCGGAAACGACUGCUAAUACCGCAUAGGACAUGGGAUCACAUGAUUCUGUGAGGAAAGGUGGCGCAAGCUAUCGCUAAGAGAUGGACCCGCGGUGCAUUAGCUAGUUGGUAGGGUAACGGCCUACCAAGGCGAUGAUGCAUAGCCGACCUGAGAGGGUGAUCGGCCACAUUGGGACUGAGACACGGCCCAAACUCCUACGGGAGGCAGCAGUAGGGAAUCUUCCGCAAUGGACGCAAGUCUGACGGAGCAACGCCGCGUGAGUGAAGAAGGUCUUCGGAUCGUAAAGCUCUGUUGUUAGAGAAGAACAGCGCAUAGAGUAACUGCUAUGCGUGUGACGGUAUCUAACCAGAAAGCCACGGCUAACUACGUGCCAGCCGCCGCCGUAACAC
rnacentral:rRNA from 1 species